UACAGAGGUCUCAAGCGUUGUUCGGAUUCAUUGGGCGUAAAGGGUGCGUAGGCGGCGCGGUAAGUCGGGGGUGAAAUCUUGGAGCUUAACUCCGAAACUGCAUUCGAUACUGCCGUGCUUGAGGACUGGAGAGGAGACUGGAAUUUACGGUGUAGCGGUGAAAUGCGUAGAUAUCGUAAGGAAGACCAGUGGCGAAGGCGGGUCUCUGGACAGUUCCUGACGCUGAGGCACGAAGGUCAGGGGAGCAAACGGG
rnacentral:rRNA from 1 species